UUUUUCUAUAUAUUAACAGGAUGUAACAUAAAUUGAAAACUACUGCGACAUUUAUUAUGCAAUAAUAUAUAUUAAAAACAACGUUUGCGUAUGUGAAAUGGACGUAAAUUAAUUGUAGAGCUACAAAAGGGUUUUAAUAUACGAUGAUCAAGGAAACUCCAAUGACAGACUCCAUCUAGACCAUUGUUUAUCGCUAGAUUCAGGACGAUUAGCGAGUUCGACAUAUUUUUCGUUAUAGACAAAUGUCUGUUAUUGAUUGAAGACUGUACUGCCUUCUAUAGUUGCAUUUUUGGUAAAUUUUGCGAGAUGAGAAAGACUCGUCGAAAAGUUGUAUCUUUUUUUGUCGUAUUUGUGCUGUUGUGUUUUAUAUGGAGAAAUAUUUUCAAUCGAAAAGAGUUGAUAAUCCAGGCCGUACAAACUGAGAAGAGAACCUUGACAGAUGGUGGUUGCAUCGUCUCCGAAGGCCAUCUUUGGACAAAUAACUCAUGCUCGUGUUAUCCUAACACCUUCUGUUGUGUUUCAGGACAACUUCAUUUUUUUUAUGACGCGGCGUGUGAUGGAACAGGAUAAUGAUUGGUCGGUGAAAAGGGGGGUUGGGGGUGUGGGCAAGUAGGAGGAUUUUUUUCAGAAUUGAUAAUUUAUGUCCAUCUGUUGCUAUGCAUGCUGUUUUAUUAAUUUGAGUACAAUAAAAACUGAGUAAAAUA